rnacentral:rRNA from 1 species
CCCGCUGAACUUAAGCAUAUUAUUAAGCGGAGGAAAAGAAACUAACAAGGAUGCCCUCAGUAACGGCGAGUGAAGCGGGCAAAGCUCAACCUGAAAAUCGGAUUCCUUAGCGGGAUUUCGAAUUGUGGGCUACAGACGCGUGAUCAGUGUGUGACCCAGGUAUAAAUCUCUUUGAAACGAGGUAUCAUAGAGGGUGAGAAUCCCGUCUGUGACUUGGAGUUCGCCGCGUACGAUCCGUGUUCGCAGAGUCGCGUUGUUUGGGAUUGCAGCGCUAAAUGGGUGGUAAAUUUCAUCUAAAGCUAAAUAUCGACGAGAGACCGAUAGCGAACAAGUACCGUGAGGGAAAGAUGAAAAGAACUUUGAAAAGAGAGUUAAAAAGUACUUGAAAUUGCUAAGAGGGAAGCACUGGAAACCAGUCGUGCUGCGCGUGUAUAUUUAGCAUGUCUGUCUGGAUCCGGGUGGUUGCUGCGAGCCAAAAGCCGCACUGCCGUUCGGUGAAUUGCGGGCUAGCGACCUGUACUGUGUAGCGAGUCAGAAUCAAUUCGGUUCGAGUGAGAAAGCUAUCAUAACGGUAGGAGCGCGGGGGCAACCCCAAGUUCUGUUUAGUAUGGUAGUGCUAACUUGGGCUGGAUUGAGGGACAAUUUCAACGCGCCCCGCAUGGGUUUGCGCUCCCCGACCCUGGGUGCUCAGGAGGUUUGGACAACAAAGUUGUGCUAUCUCUGAAGGCGCUUACUGGAAAGGAUGAGCGACACGCAGCGUUCGAGAUUCUGACGAAAUGGUUUUCAUUGACCCGUCUUGAAACACGG